GGGGCCUCCGCAGUUCCGGCGGGGAGGGGCCUGAGUGUGGUGGGGCGGGGCCUCCCUGCGUCCGGAGGGUUGGGACCUCCUUAGCCCGCGCUGGGAAUCUGCACUUCUGGACCUGGCUGGAAGCAGGAAAAAGAGGGGCGGGGAGCGGCUCAGGCUUCUCACAAAGAACAGCCCAAACUACCCUGAACCCCGUGUUGAUGAAAACCCCAAAUCGCGGCUGGAGUUGGAAACUUCUUGGCGAGCUUUCGGGCCCUGGUGAUGUCUGACCAAGUCUGUUUCUCAUGGUGAACCGGGAGCUAUCUGGCCCUCCUAGAUAAGGAGUCCUUUCAUGAGGAGGAAGUGGUCUGUACAGAACACGGCCAGAGCCAGAACUCAAGCAAUUUUCAUUAGCAGGAGUUAGUUCCUUCCGGGCUUUGGGACUGAAAGCCUUCCUCAGUUCCGUGCUACAUGGGCUUCUCCAAAGAUCAUCUCACAACAUGGCAGCUGAACUUCCACAGAAUGAACAAACAAGAGAAAAGGGAGACUGAUGGAACAAGAUGGAAGCCACCGUCCUUCUGUAAUCUAACCUUAGAAAUGACAUCCCAUGACUUUUGCUGAAUUCUCUCAUUAGAAGUGAAA